rnacentral:tRNA from 2 species
GACCGAGUAGCUCAGUUGGUAGAGCAACUGACUUUUAAUCAGUGGGUCCCGGGUUCGAGUCCCGGCUCGGUCA